GGGUCCAUAGUUUAGUGGCAGAACAUCGGUCUCCAAAACCGAGAGUGAGGGUUCGAUUCCUUCUGGGCCCGCCA
rnacentral:tRNA from 2 species